GUCAAUAAAAGGCGCUGGCCCCUGGGAUGGGUCGGAUUGCGGGCGUGAGGAGGGUGAGAGCUACGGCUCGGGAAGUGAGGUCCCCUUCAUGGUGUUCUAUGAAUUACAAGCAUCCUCAGGUCCUGAGCAGAGUCGUAGAGGAUUUGAGGAUGCUGGCAGUCAGCAACUGUCUUGAAAACCUCUCCCUGAAGCAGAAUCAUUGUUUCGUUCAAAUGGAAAAGACAGGCAAGAAUUCUGGAGCAGGUUGCCAUGCCCUCCUUCAGAGGAUCUUCCCAACCGAGGGAUCCAACCUAUAUGUCCUGAGUCUCCUGCAUUGCAGCAGAUUCUUUACCUCUGGGCCACUGGGGAAGGCCCAUAUUUGUUCUUAAUAAAAGUUAGAUAAAGC
ensembl:lncRNA